AUCAGAGGAGGUGCGGAAGUAAAGUGCAGAGAACUGUUUGGCUGAAAAAUGUGCUCAGUUAAAUGCUCCAUUUCCCAGCCUGCCAUGCUGAUUACCAUAGACAUGUGACCCAAUUCUGAGAAUAAAAUGAUCAAUACCUGAAACGUCACCCAAGGAACUCCUGCUUUGAGCCUCCACUGACUUCCUAACUGC